CAGCCGCCACGGGAAAACCAGCACCUCGAGUGGUCAGGAGGUUUAUUGGGCCUAAAGCAUCCGUAGCCGGUUGCAUAAGUUUUCGGUUAAAUCUAUGCGCUUAACGUAUAGGCCGCCGAAAAUACUGUGCAGCUAGGGAGUGGGAGAGGUACACGGUACUCGAUAGGAAGGGGUAAAAUCCUUUGAUCUAUUGAUGACCACCUGUGGCGAAGGCGGUGUACCAGAACACGUUCGACGGUGAGGGAUGAAAGCUGGGGGAGCAAACCGGAUUAGAUACCCCAGUAGUCCCUGUCUCUUAUAC
rnacentral:rRNA from 1 species